ACGACCAUACCCACUGGAAUAUACGGGAUCCCGUCCGCUCUCCCCUAGUCAAACCAGUGAGGGCCGAACUAGUACUCAGGUGGGUGACCGCUGGGGAAUCCUCGGUGUUGUAUGUU
rnacentral:rRNA from 2 species